AGUUUGCGCGCGUGGGAAGGGUGAGGGAAACAUCGGUAAGGUUCGGCUCGAGCGAAAGCGAGAGAACGUUGCCAACGGCAACGGCCCGUAGGAGUGAGGGCGAAGCGACGGAGUAAUCCUUCCCCACCACCA
rnacentral:sRNA from 1 species